ACUCUAUCAGUCCAUGUUCUUCGAUGCUGGUACCUUCCGCAUUACCCAGGAAAGAAAACAUAGCAGCAUCGUUGUGUAUUCCAUAUCACGCUUCGUCGCACACUGACUGAUGCGCGGAAACCUCACGUGACCGCAAUCUCCAUAGUGAUUGGGUUGUAUCGGCCGCCAUAUUUGUUUUGAUAUACCAUGUGGAAUGACGGUGAAAACAAACACAGUCGGCUUCACGGUCUAGGAAUAUUUUAAUGUCAUGAAAAUCAAAGAAAAAUUGGAAUCUGAGAUGGCAACUCUUGAUGAUCAUCCAGAUAUCGACAAUUUGGAUAUCGGUGACAAUGUUGAUGAGUCGUCGGAAAGUGAAAUUGAUCGAUUGGAUUUGUAUUCCCCUGGUCUCGAUUCGCCGACAGAAAGGGGAGUCGCAAAAACGAAGAAAGAUGAAGAUCUUAUUUUAAAAAUUAUAAAACAGACAAGGACACUUGGUUCAAAUACAUUAGAACUGUGUGAUAAAAAAAUGUUGCAGAUUCCACGCGAACUGUUAGAGAUGAAUAACCUUGAGUACCUGUACCUAGAAGGAAACGAACUGACUAGUCUUCCGGACGAUUUUUUCGACUGCUUGCCACGACUAACAUGGCUCGAUCUCAGGAGGAACAAACUUUUACGAUUACCAAGCGUGUACACUGGUCGACACAAUCACCUCCGAACACUUCUUCUGGAAGGAAACAAACUCAGAAGUCUUCCCCUUGAACUAGGUUUAAUUAAGAGUUUAAAUGGUCUGAAUAUAAGCAACAACCCCAUUGAAUUUCCACCGAAAGACAUCAUGGAGAAAGGCACUGCAGAAAUCCUGAAAUUCCUACGAGAGAUGCUCCAGGCCAAGUCAUCCGGUCAACUCUUGAACGGUUCCCCAGGUAAUGGUAGCAGCAGUAGUUCUGAUGACUGGGAUGAUGGAGAUGACCUUCAGGACUACGCCAAGCGGCGUCAGCGGACCCUGGCCCUGGACGAUGCCAAGAGCACCACCACCAAGUCCUCAGACCCAUUUGGACCGGUGCCACAGCCGGUGGCUCUCCACCGCCCGGUCAGUUACACAGACAAAAAACAGGAGAAGGCGGAGAAAGUGCGCCGUGCGGGGGCGUCUGGAACUGUGGAAAGUCGUAAAAAGUCUGCCGCUAGCGUGAUGAACUGGAAAGUAAACCCCUACCCUGAACCUCCACCCGAGGAAUACGCUAACUUCAAGAUGACAGAGGAGCGCAAGCUGGCCAAGGUCAAAGAGCACAAACAGAAAACAGACGCCAUUAUCCAGAGGAGAAAAGAUGAUGAAGUGCUUAAAGACUGGCGAGUAAAAACAAAGAAAAUACAGCAAAAGAAGCACUACGAAAGUAUGGUGAAGGGAACAAAGGAUUAUACUGAUGCUGUUGAGAAAGCCCCCUUUGACAUCGACAAAAACCACAUGAAAAUUCCCACCAAUGAAGAGAGAAUUAAGGAAGAUGUAAAGAAUGCCCAUGAAAAGGUGCGCCGUGCCAUGUCACCGACCACUCGACAGCGAGUGGAGGAGGAAAAGUAAACAAACAAGGAUCAGGGAAUUAGAGAGGAGAAUCAAACAGCACACCUCACUAAUGCACGAGAGACGGAAACUCCCCAAGGGAACCCCACAGGAAGAAAUGGAGGCCGCCAGAAGGGAGCUGGAAAUUGCUGAAGAUUUGCACAAAGAACUGGUGUCAACCAGGAAGAAUUUAGAGUACCGUUUUAAAGCUUUCACUGGGGAACUCAGUACAGGGAACAUACACCGAAGAAACCGCGUUCCCAAAAUCUAGUCAAUAUCAUCGAAGAACGGGGGGAAAAAUGGAUAAUUCUGGUGGAAAGUAUGUGACGGUGACGUUGGAUUUUUGAAGUGAUCGUUUCCUGUGUUUGCGUUAUGUGAAAUGCUCCGCCAUUACGUAUACACCAGUCUUUUCCUGACACAAACAUAUUCUGUGAAAGGUGCUAUAAUUGACAGCCAGGAUCUCAUGAAGAGAUGUUUACCUAAUGAACAACACCUUACGUAUUACAAAAUCAAUUGCCAUUCACUAUACCUUUGAUGAACUGGAAGCAUUAUUGUUAUAUCAUUUUGCCUUCUUUUCUCUGGUUUACAUUGAUACUCUUUCAUUUUACCAUUAAUCAAACACUCCAAGUUACACAAGUGUUUGACAUAUUUAUCUAUAAAUACAUGCACUGAAACACUGACAUAGUUCGGAUGUUCAAGAAUAAAUGUACUUGUUAAUUUAGAUUUGAUUUGGCUUUUACACCUUGUACCUAAUUGUUAUAAUAUCUGUUAUAUGAUAAAUGUAUGAAUCCGUCCAGAUGAUAUGAUUUUGUUAUUAUAUAGUGUUCAAAUAAAAAUAAUGAAAAAUUU
rnacentral:misc_RNA from 1 species